rnacentral:rRNA from 1 species
UACAGAGGUCCCAAGCGUUGUUCGGAUUCACUGGGCGUAAAGGGUGCGUAGGCGGUUGGAUAAGUCUGACGUGAAAUCUCCGGGCCUAACCCGGAAACUGCGUUGGAAACUAUUUGACUAGAGGAUUGGAAGGGAGACUGGAAUACUUGGUGUAGCAGUGAAAUGCGUAGAUAUCAAGUGGAACACCAGUGGCGAAGGCGAGUCUCUGGACAAUUCCUGACGCUGAGGCACGAAAGCCAGGGGAGCAAACGGG